rnacentral:lncRNA from 1 species
UUCGGAUUAAUUAUGGGCUUCCAACUUAAAACCAAUUGGCAAUUAGUGGAUUGGCCCAAGUCCCUUAUAUAUUACUCAAGUCCCUUAGAAUUCCCGAUGUGGGAUAUAUAUCCCUAAUACCCCUCCUCGAGAUGAUGGCUCUUAUCGGCCAGAAAUCUCGAAAUUUUUUAAGACAGUUAUACUCGGUCGAGCGAGUCAAUUAUGAUCUUUAUACCCGGUCGGAUAGGGUUAUAUUAAUUAGGGGUAUAACGUAUUUAGGAUCUGAACUCUGAUACCAUGUUAAAUAUAAUAGAAUAAAUAUAUUAUU